UACGGAGGAUCCAAGCGUUAUCCGGAAUCAUUGGGUUUAAAGGGUCCGUAGGCGGCCUUAUAAGUCAGUGGUGAAAUCUCCUAGCUCAACUAGGAAACUGCCAUUGAUACUGUAGGGCUUGAAUUUUUGUGAAGUAACUAGAAUAUGUAGUGUAGCGGUGAAAUGCUUAGAUAUUACAUGGAAUACCAAUUGCGAAGGCAGGUUACUAACAAACGAUUGACGCUGAUGGACGAAAGCGUGGGGAGCGAACAGG
rnacentral:rRNA from 2 species